rnacentral:tmRNA from 1 species
GGGGAUGUAAAGGUUUCGACGGGGAUAUAUGCUUCAUGGAUAGCGAGCCGGGGGGUCAUCAUCCCGUUAGUAAGGUGAAAACUUUUAUUUAAAUAUAAAAGCUAACGAAGACUACGCUCUGGCUGCUUAACGCCAGCCCCUGUACAGCUGCUGCCCACACGGCGGUAUAAGGGGUAAGCUGUGGGAUACCUGAUAGUCAAUUCUCGGAGACUUGACUGGGAACUCUGAUCGAGAUAGGUGCUGAGCCGUUUGUCUGUUGAUGGCGAGGCACUGAAAUCUAACAACAGACUGUGCUCGAAGAAGUCUGUGGGACAGUAUUUUCGGACAGGAGUUCGAUUCUCCUCAUCUCCACCA